GAGAAAGAAGCAUAAGUGGNUUUAUGUAUGCGGUUGGCUUGAAACCAAUAUAUGAGGGUUCGACUCCUUCCUUUCUUG
rnacentral:tRNA from 1 species